GACCCCGCACAAGCGGCGGAGCAUGCGGCUUAAUUCGAUGCAACGCGAAGAACCUUACCAGGCCUUGACAUCCUCGGAACUUUCUAGAGAUAGAUUGGUGCCUUCGGGAACCGAGUGACAGGUGCUGCAUGGCUGUCGUCAGCUCGUGUCGUGAGAUGUUGGGUUAAGUCCCGUAACGAGCGCAACCCUUGUCCUUAGUUGCCAGCACAUUAUGGUGGGAACUCUAACGGGACUGCCGGUGCAAACCGCGAGGAAGGUGGGGAUGACGUCAAAUCAUCACGGCCCUUACGUCCUGGGCUACACACGUGCUACAAUGGCCGGUACAGAGGGCAGCACACCGCAAGGUGGAG
rnacentral:rRNA from 1 species